GAUGAAGAACGCAGUGAAAUGCGAUAAGUAAUGUGAAUUGCAGAAUUCAGUGAAUCAUCGAAUCUUUGAACGCACAUUGCGCCCGUCAGUAUUCUGGCGGGCAUGCCUGUUCGAGCGUCAUUACGCCCCUCAAGUCCCCUGUGGACUUGGUGUUGGGGAUCGGCGAGGCUGGUUUUCCAGCACAGCCGUCCCUUAAAUUAAUUGGCGGUCUCGCCGUGGCCCUCCUCUGCGCAGUAGUAAAACACUCGCAACAGGAGCCCNNNNCGGUCCACUGCCGUAAAACCCCCCAACUUUUUAUAGUUGACCUCGAAUCAGGUAGGACUACCCGCUGAACUUAAGCAUAUCAAUAAGCGGAGGA
rnacentral:misc_RNA from 1 species